GCUCCAGUUCUGAGCUGUGAGUGCUUCCUGAGUCAGGCCUCCCCGUCCCUACUUCCCAUGUGGGCCUCGUCUAGGGAUUACAGCUUCACAAGUGCUGUCAGAUUCACAGGCAGCUACGUCUUCUCAUGAGGGGAGCAAUAAAUGGAACAUGUGCAAAAUGAUUUUAUCAAGAGCCUCUCAGAUGAUGGCCACAGAGGACGGGACUCCAAGAUAUUCCCCCACAAGAGAAUUGGAUUGGCUCAACCUCACCUCUGGAAUGGUUUCUCCUGGGCCAGUGUCCACCCCAAGGCCAAUCUGCUGUGGCUGGCCUCCAGGUCUCUUCACUAGGCAGCCAGAGCCACGGCGUCCUGGGGAGAGCCAAGGCCCUGACUCUCUAAUAACACAAGUGGACUCCUGGGAGCCCUUGCUCCACCCCUGGACUCCAGAGAAUUGAGCUGUUUCUUCUCAUCCUCUCCUCCUCUCCUCCUGGCUGAGACUUGCAGAGAUGGAUAGCAGCACAGUGUCUGACCUAGAAGGGCCACUGCGAAGCACCUCUUCAUUUGAUUUUAUCUAUCUAUCCAUUGAUUGAUCCAUCUAUCCAUUAUCUAUUUUUCUUGUGGUACAACAUACAAUUUACCCUCUUUUUUGGAGACAGGGUCUCAUUCUGUCAUCCAGGCUGGAGUGCAGUGGUGUGAUCAUAGCUUGCUGAAGCCUGAACUUUCUGGGAUCAAGAGAUCCUCCCACCUCAGCCUCCCUAGUAGCUGGGGUUACAGAUGCCCACCACUAUGCCCAGCUAAUUUUUUAUUAUUAUUAUUUUUUGUAGAGACAAGGUCUCCUUAUGUUGCCCAGGCUGAUCUUGAACUCCUGGGCUCAAACUAUCUUCCUGCCUCCACCUGCCAAAGUGCUGGGAUUGCAGGCAUGAGCCACCACACCUGGCCAAAUUUACCCUUUUAACCAUUUGUAAGUAUACAAUUCAGUGGUAUUAAGUACAUUCACAUUAUUGACCAACCAUCACCACAAUCCCACCCAGAAAUUUUUUUUCAUCCCUAACAGAAACUCUGUAUCCAUUAAAUACUAACUGCUG
rnacentral:lncRNA from 1 species